rnacentral:rRNA from 1 species
CCAUGCAGUCGAACGGCAGCACGGGAGCAAUCCUGGUGGCGAGUGGCGAACGGGUGAGUAAUACAUCGGAACGUGUCCUGGAGUGGGGGAUAGCCCGGCGAAAGCCGGAUUAAUACCGCAUACGCUCUGUGGAGGAAAGCGGGGGAUCUUUCGGGACCUCGCGCUCAAGGGGCGGCCGAUGGCAGAUUAGCUAGUUGGUGGGGUAAAGGCCUACCAAGGCGACGAUCUGUAGCUGGUCUGAGAGGACGACCAGCCACACUGGGACUGAGACACGGCCCAGACUCCUACGGGAGGCAGCAGUGGGGAAUUUUGGACAAUGGGCGCAAGCCUGAUCCAGCAAUGCCGCGUGUGUGAAGAAGGCCUUCGGGUUGUAAAGCACUUUUGUCCGGAAAGAAAACCUCUGGGUUAAUACCCCGGGGGGAUGACGGUACCGGAAGAAUAAGCACCGGCUAACUACGUGCCAGCAGCCGCGGUAAUACGUAGGGUGCGAGCGUUAAUCGGAAUUACUGGGCGUAAAGCGUGCGCAGGCGGUUCGUUAAGACAGAUGUGAAAUCCCCGGGCUUAACCUGGGAACUGCAUUUGUGACUGGCGGGCUAGAGUAUGGCAGAGGGGGGUAGAAUUCCACGUGUAGCAGUGAAAUGCGUAGAGAUGUGGAGGAAUACCGAUGGCGAAGGCAGCCCCCUGGGCCAAUACUGACGCUCAUGCACGAAAGCGUGGGGAGCAAACAGGAUUAGAUACCCUGGUAGUCCACGCCCUAAACGAUGUCAACUAGUUGUUGGGGAUUCAUUUCCUUAGUAACGUAGCUAACGCGUGAAGUUGACCGCCUGGGGAGUACGGUCGCAAGAUUAAAACUCAAUGAAA